AAAAAAGGUAAGCUACUAAGAGCGAAUGGUGGAUGCCUUGACUGGUAAAGGCGAUGAAGGACGUACUAGACUGCGAUAAGCUACGGGGAGCUGUCAAGAAGCUUUGAUCCGUAGAUUUCCGAAUGGGGCAACCCAAUGUAUAGAGAUAUACAUUACCUAUAUAGGAGCAAACGAGGGGAAUUGAAACAUCUUAGUACCCUCAGGAAAAGAAAUCAAUAGAGAUUGCGUCAGUAGCGGCGAGCGAAAGCGCAAGAGGGCAAACCCAGUGCUUGCACUGGGGGUUGUAGGACUGCAAUGUGCAAGAGGUGAGUUUAGCAGAACAUUCUGGAAAGUAUAGCCAUAGAGGGUGAUAGUCCCGUAUGCGAAAAACAAACCUUAGCUAGCAGUAUCCUGAGUAGGGCGGGACACGAGAAAUCCUGUCUGAAGCUGGGUCGACCACGAUCCAACCCUAAAUACUAAUACCAGAUCGAUAGUGCACAAGUACCGUGAGGGAAAGGUGAAAAGAACUGAGGUGAUCAGAGUGAAAUAGAACCUGAAACCAUUUGCUUACAAUCAUUCAGAGCCCUAUGUAGCAAUACAGGGUGAUGGACUGCCUUUUGCAUAAUGAGCCUGCGAGUUGUGGUGUCUGGCAAGGUUAAGCAAACGCGAAGCCGUAGCGAAAGCGAGUCUGAAUAGGGCGCUUAGUCAGAUGCUGCAGACCCGAAACGAAGUGAUCUAUCCAUGAGCAAGUUGAAGCUAGUGUAAGAACUAGUGGAGGACUGAACCCAUAGGCGUUGAAAAGCCCCGGGAUGACUUGUGGAUAGGGGUGAAAGGCCAAUCAAACUUCGUGAUAGCUGGUUCUCUCCGAAAUAUAUUUAGGUAUAGCGUUGUGUCGUAAUAUAAGGGGGUAGAGCACUGAAUGGGCUAGGGCAUACACCAAUGUACCAAACCCUAUCAAACUCCGAAUACCUUAUAUGUAAUCACAGCAGUCAGGCGGCGAGUGAUAAAAUCCGUCGUCAAGAGGGAAACAACCCAGACUACCAGCUAAGGUCCCUAAAUCUUACUUAAGUGGAAAACGAUGUGAAGUUACUUAAACAACCAGGAGGUUGGCUUAGAAGCAGCCAUCCUUUAAAGAAAGCGUAAUAGCUCACUGGUCUAGUGAUUUUGCGCGGAAAAUAUAACGGGGCUAAAGUAAGUACCGAAGCUGUAGACUUGCACACAACUUAGAUUAUUUAAGUUUAGAAUAUGAGAAACUAAGUUAUAUGUUUAGUUAUAUUUUUACUGAUUUUUAUAGAGUAAAGAUAGAAAUAAAACUUAGUAAAAUCAGUAAAAAUAUUCUUAGACUAAAGUUAAGUAGUUUAAGUUGUGUGCAAGUGGUAGGAGAGCGUUCUAUUUGCGUCGAAGGUAUACCGGUAAGGAGUGCUGGAGCGAAUAGAAGUGAGCAUGCAGGCAUGAGUAGCGAUAAUUAAUGUGAGAAUCAUUAACGCCGUAAACCCAAGGUUUCCUACGCGAUGCUCGUCAUCGUAGGGUUAGUCGGGUCCUAAGUCGAGUCCGAAAGGGGUAGACGAUGGCAAAUUGGUUAAUAUUCCAAUACCAACAUUAGUGUGCGAUGGAAGGACGCUUAGGGCUAAGGGGGCUAGCGGAUGGAAGUGCUAGUCUAAGGUCGUAGGAGGUUAUACAGGCAAAUCCGUAUAACAAUACUCCGAGAACUGAAAGGCUUUUUGAAGUCUUCGGAUGGAUAGAAGAACCCCUGAUGCCGUCGAGCCAAGAAAAGUUUCUAAGUUUAGCUAAUGUUGCCCGUACCGUAAACCGACACAGGUGGGUGGGAUGAGUAUUCUAAGGCGCGUGGAAGAACUCUCUUUAAGGAACUCUGCAAAAUAGCACCGUAUCUUCGGUAUAAGGUGUGGUUCGCUUCGUAUUAGGAUUUACUCCGAAAGCGAAGAAACUUACAACAAAGAGUCCCUCCCGACUGUUUACCAAAAACACAGCACUCUGCUAACUCGUAAGAGGAUGUAUAGGGUGUGACGCCUGCCCGGUGCUCGAAGGUUAAUUGAUGGGGUUAGCAUUAGCGAAGCUCUUGAUCGAAGCCCGAGUAAACGGCGGCCGUAACUAUAACGGUCCUAAGGUAGCGAAAUUCCUUGUCGGUUAAAUACCGACCUGCAUGAAUGGCGUAACGAGAUGGGAGCUGUCUCAAAGAGGGAUCCAGUGAAAUUGUAGUGGAGGUGAAAAUUCCUCCUACCCGCGGCAAGACGGAAAGACCCCGUGGACCUUUACUACAGCUUGACACUGCUAUUUGGAUAAGAAUGUGCAGGAUAGGUGGGAGGCUUUGAGUAUAUGACGCCAGUUGUAUAUGAGCCAUUGUUGAGAUACCACUCUUUCUUAUUUGGGUAGCUAACCAGCUUGAGUUAUCCUCAAGUGGGACAAUGUCUGGUGGGUAGUUUGACUGGGGCGGUCGCCUCCCAAAUAAUAACGGAGGCUUACAAAGGUUGGCUCAGAACGGUUGGAAAUCGUUCGUAGAGUAUAAAGGUAUAAGCCAGCUUAACUGCAAGACAUACAAGUCAAGCAGAGACGAAAGUCGGUCUUAGUGAUCCGGUGGUUCUGUGUGGAAGGGCCAUCGCUCAAAGGAUAAAAGGUACCCCGGGGAUAACAGGCUGAUCUCCCCCAAGAGCUCACAUCGACGGGGAGGUUUGGCACCUCGAUGUCGGCUCAUCGCAUCCUGGGGCUGGAGCAGGUCCCAAGGGUAUGGCUGUUCGCCAUUUAAAGCGGUACGCGAGCUGGGUUCAGAACGUCGUGAGACAGUUCGGUCCCUAUCUGCCGUGGGCGUAAGAAGAUUGAAGAGAUUUGACCCUAGUACGAGAGGACCGGGUUGAACAAACCACUGGUGUAGCUGUUGUUCUGCCAAGAGCAUCGCAGCGUAGCUAAGUUUGGAAAGGAUAAACGCUGAAAGCAUCUAAGCGUGAAGCCAACUCUAAGAUGAAUCUUCUCUAAGCUCUCUAGAAGACUACUAGUUUGAUAGGCUGGGUGUGUAAUGGAUGAAAGUCCUUUAGCUGACCAGUACUAAUAGAGCGUUUGGCUUAUCUUUAAUAAAGCAU
rnacentral:rRNA from 1 species